UACGAGUGCCUCAAGCGUUAUCCGGAAUCAUUGGGCGUAAAGCGUGUGUAGGCGGAUCGUUAAGUACCUUGUGAAAUCCCACGGCUUAACCGUGGAUCUGCUUGGUAUACUGGCGAUCUUGAGCCACUUAGGGGCUACCGGAACAAAUGGUGGAGCGGUGAAAUGCGUAGAUAUCAUUUGGAACGCCAAUGGUGAAAACAGGUAGCUGGGAGUGUGCUGACGCUGAGACACGAAAGCCAGGGGAGCAAACGGG
rnacentral:rRNA from 1 species